UCUCAGCCUUAUCCCAAACCGCCUCCUCUCUGUUAAUUCCGGGGAGCACCAGCCAAGCUCCUCCCCUGCGGCUCGCCUCCCUCACGGCGCCGCCUGCUCCCCAUUGCCGACCUCCACUCCAGCACCUGAGCAAGCGCUCCUGAGGUCAUCUUCCCCAUCUUCCUCUAGUGCCGGCCGCCAGGUCAUCUUCCCCAUCUUCCUCUAGUGCCGGCCGCCAGGUCGUCUUCCCCAUCCCUCCCAUGGCGCCCUCACCUCUGCUCCUCCCAGCGCCCUGGCUCUGUUCAACCUUCACAGUGAGCUCGCCCUCAGCCAUGGCGGAUGCCGCCUCCACCUCCCCCUUGGUGCUCGCCGAGCUCGCCCUCAGCCCUGCCGCGCCCCUGCUUUCUGUUCCCAGUGCGCCCUCUGUUCUGUUCCAAUCGUUCUCCACGCCGUGUUCCCCCAUGGCUCCCCUUGCCUCUCCGGUCAGCACUAGCCCGAACGGUACAGCAGCAUACCGGUGCCAAACCCGUGUCCGCGACGCUCGCCAAGUGCUCGAUGAAAUACCGCAGUGAGCUCCACCUCGACCUGUGCAGCCCCAACCCGCGACGUCGCAACACCCUUGCCCUCCGUCGAUGUCGCGCUUCGCCCAUUGCUCCUCGACGAAGAGCCAGAACCGUGGUAGACAUGCAUGCGCAAUCCGAACUAAUUUUACCUGGUUGUUCGCUUUAUGUGAUUGUAGUUUGCUCUAAUUACGUGUGGUCGAUGGCGUGAAUAUGUGUGUGAAAAUGUAAGCACAUACUCUCAUGCUUAACAAAACAAUCCAAAAUAUUACCAUAUAUGGUUGCAACAGCAGAGUGCCAAACAAUGGAAAUCAAAAUCGACUUACUUCUUCGUGUGCUUCAUCCACUGUGGUGCUACAUGACUCUUGUUUUUCAUUCUUCUCCUCGCUAGCGUCUACAUCUGGCCUCACCUCCCAGGAAACUCCAGAUGGAACUGCGUUGCAUGGCUCCAUGGAGUCCACUGAACAUGGUUCUUGUACCUUACCCAGUUCAACAGUUCUCUUCUGCUGAGAUUAAUUUGUGGCGUUAUCAUGCAUAAAUUAUAUUUAAUUGAACAAUUGCAAAAUAAGGUUAGAGAACAUCGUUAAUACAAGCAACACAUACUCUAUCAGAAGCUUCAGUUAUUACAGUAGGAGCUGCAGUUUGGAUAAUGUUCUUGGUCCCCUCAGAUUCAUCAUCAUUACUAUCUGUGUGAUUCAAGUCUCCAGAUGAUGCUUUGCAUAAAGUAUCAAGCUUCUCCUGCAAGCAAAUCAGUUCUCGAGCAACAGACUUCCUAGCUUCCCUUACACUUGGAUGCAAGCCCUGUGUCAAUAUUACCAAGGUCUUAGAAACAACCCAGCAAGUACCAAAAAAGUUUACCAAAUAAGAAAUAAGUCUAUGCCACUCAGAGAAAAACAGGCUGGAAUGAAAAAUAUACCUGGAUUGCGUCAAGCUUCAGGAGUAAAUUCAUAAUAGUUUCACCUAUGGCCACUUGCUCUUUUUGUGUUGGCUUACUGCAAGAAUCUAAAAGGCAUUGAAUCUGCUUCCUCACAACUUGCAUCUGUUCAUGCACAUGCUUGAUCUUCCAGAGCUUAUCCAAAGGUUGCCAUUUUCGAACAUCAUACCCUCUGUAGGCAGACUGAAUACCAACUGCAGCAUCUGAUUCUGACAAAUUAACUCCAUAUGUUCUGGCAUCAUCUUUCGCAGUUUCACUUUCAAUCACUGUCCCAUCUUCAUUUUUUCUUUUGUCACAUCCAUUCAAGCUUCCUGCACCAGCAUUUUCUUGCACAUGAUCUUCCUCUAUGCUCUUCAGGGCUGCAUUUUCUUGAUCACCAACUGUAGUGCUAGCAGCUUGGACCUUUUGGCCGUCUUUACUUGUGGGAGCUUCUUCCUCCUGCAGAUGUUCAACAGAAGCAGCUUCCACUGUUACAUUUCUGAACCCAACUUCCUUCUUCAUUUCAUAAGGCGAUUUUUCUUUCACUUCAGACACAGUGAUAUCCUUACUUGUACUUGACUGUUUAGGCUCCAGGAUACUUCUUGUUUGGGUGUUGAAUUAUACUGUCACUAUCAGCAUUCUUGUAGAUAAUCUUUUUAUCUUGCUUGUGUUAAAAUUUCAUGACCAUAGGUGUAGUAGUUUAUGAGUUAUGAUUUUUCCAAGUCCAGUUUCAGAAUCUGUCCAAAUUCUGUACAGGUUUCGAAAAUUGGAUUGUUUGGCUAAACUAAACUGAGAAUCAGCCCUUAGUAAUUAUAGAAAAAUUGUAGUAUUUUUCUUAAGCUUUCCAACAAAUUUUGGAGCACCAUUUUUGGUGGUCUAGAGAUCAAGUUACAGCUGUUUGAACUAUAGAGUCUGAAUCUGUCCAAAUUUGGACAGCGAAGUCUGUUUGUAGUAACUGACUUUGAUAUGUAUUGUAUUAACCAAAGAUGUUUAUAAAUGAAUUGUAGACAAUUCUAUUAGCUUUCUAAAAAGUCUAGGAUCACCUGAUUUCGAUGCCUGAAACUCCAGUUAUGAUUUUUUUUGAAGUGAGUAGCCGAAUUCUGUCCAAAUCUGGACAGAAUUAAAGUUUAGCACUGUUUGACCUUUCAAACUGUCGAAUCAUGUUGUUAUGAUAAUAUAAGAGUUAUAGAGGACUUUCUAAGCUUUCCAGAAAGUCCUAGUUUACUAUUUUUGGAUCAUUGGAUGCAUAUUUUGUGAGCUAUGAAUAAAACAAUUAACCGCUGCGGCUGUGCUGCUGUCUAAAAAUUCUGCAAGUAUUAAAUUGUUGGCUUGAAGUUACUAUUGUUUGGCUAAGUAAGUUUAGCUGAUUCUUAAUUGGUGAAGUGAUGCUUUGUUUUAGUAACUAUCAUGUUCUAUGGUUGUUGAUUGAGUAAAUAUCAUAAAUGGAGAUUGGUCGCUUAAAUUAAUCAUCUUGAAUAAAUGUUCCUCAUUAUCCUUAUUAGUUGGAAGCAAAUAGCAUCAAUAGGUUUAUUCCAGUUGUAAUCCGAGAGCUAUAUAGUGGGAAGUGCAUUUAGGCGCUUAAAGUAUUUUGCUUCUAGGUUAUAGUCAAAUGAGAUUAUGUAAUAUUUGAUGAUGCUCUACUUGCUAGGACAAAUAGUGUGAUGUGUUAGCUAUGCUAGUUAAUCCGAUGAAAUGGAUUGUUUGGCUAAGUUAAAAUGAGAAUCAAUCAUUAGCAAUUAUAGGAGAAUUGUAGUACUUUCCUUAAGAUUUCCAACAAAUUUUGGAUCACCCUUUUUGGUGAUCUAUAAAUUAAGUUACAGCUGUUUGAGUUUGAAUAUCUGAAUCUGUCCCAAUUUGGAAGCAGAGCCUUUCUCAUGUUUUUUGACCUUGAUAUAUAUUAAAUUAACCUGGGAUGUUCAUAAAUGAAUUUUAGAGAAUUCUAUUAGUUUUCUAAAAAGUCUAGGAUCACCUGAUUUGGAUGUCUGAAACUCCAGUUAUGAUUUUUUGAAGUAAGUAGUCGAAUUCUGUCCAAAUCUGGACAGAAUUUACGUUUAGCAUUGUUUGACCAUUCUAAGUGUCAAGUCUCACUGUGAUGAUAAUACAAAGGUUGUAGAGGACUUCUUAAGCUUUCUACAAAGUCUUAGUUCACGAUUUUUGGAUGAAUAUUUUGUAAGUUAUGAGCAAAACUGCUGACUGCGCUGUCCAAAAUCAGCAAGUAUUAAAAUGGUUGUUUAGAGAAGUCGGUGCUUUGCUCUUGUUGUCGUGUUCUAUAUUGAGUGAUCGGUUAGAUCCCGUAGAUGAAUAUCGAUCGUUUAGAUUAAUAAUUCUGAAUAGCUAUUUAUCGUGGUCCAAAUCAGUUGAAGGUAAGCAGCAUCGGUUGGUCCGCUUUAGUUAAAAUCCAAAAGCUCUUGCGAGGUUUCCUUAAGCUGUUCCUAGUUUGGCAUCAAGUUUGUCUGUGUUCUCUGCUCCUCCUCCCCUCCUGUUCCGUUUGAAAUUGGUCGUCUCAUUUUACCAGGACUCGCUCUUAAAAGAAGACUUGCCAUUAUAUGUCCUACUCAGUUAGGGAGGAAAAGAAGGGGAAUGCUGGGGCCAACUGCCAAGCUAGUUAUGCACUUGUAUCUAAUAUAUUGAUUUGAAUAUGAUGACCUCUGUAUUGUCAGUUUCUGAAUUUUUGCAACACAGGUCAUGCAUUUUGCCUGUAGUCAAGGAUGGUGAAGGUCCAAUCAUGUGCAUAUCAUUGGUUUCCUCUUGUUAUGAUGAAGAGAUCUGGAUUCAAUACUUGAUUUUUCAUUUGUUUUAAAAUAUUUGUUAAUUGUUAUGGUGUAUGUCAAUGGAAUUUGGGCAUUGGUUGCUUUGACUGUUUCUUGGAAUGCAGAUAAACUACGCCUAUGCUCGUGACACUGAAACACUAUUUGAUAUUAUUAGUGUGAAGGUAUGGAGCUUAUCAGGAUAUCCAGGAAAUUUUCUGCAAUUUAUGUAUUUUGGUAUCAAUUAUCAAUCUGCCAAUCAAUCAUUUUCUUUUGCUUUCUUCGAUAAACAUUUAUUGGCAAGACAGAUGAACCUCUCAAUUGACAAGCGAUGCAGGAUAAAUAAUUUGUCCACAAGCAUGAUUGCAUUAUCCCAGGUGCUUAUGAAAGUUUUUACCUUUUCUUCAAUAUGAAGUCUGAAUGUGUGGUUUGGCCUGUCUGAUCUAUCUAGCAGGUUUAGUGGUACUCGCAUCAGCUAAACCUUAAACUUGUUUUCUUCUUAAUGUAAUAUAAUUAUACAUGGUUCUACUACUUGUUUGAAAAAAAACUUAAACUUAUUUCUACAUAUGGAAUCACUAAAUGGUCGUGUUUUCCAAUACCAAUUGCAGAUCCCUUCGUUUUGAUAAGUAAACAUGAGACCCCUUUUGCUAGGAUGUUUGUAUAUCUUCUGUUUUAAACUAUAUUAUGUAAACAGUGCAAGCGAUGAGUGAAGGGUGACUAAUAGGCUUCUUUAAUCAGCACUGCAGUAUCUUUUGUUGAAUUAACCUAUACUCACUUUAUUUUAUUUAUAUAAUACAGUCCAUUUAGCUAAUUUUGUUUGAUGUGCAGUGACACGACCUUGACAGUCAAGAUGCUCUUUUAGGUUAUUUUCUCCUGAAACCACUUCUUUUGCCAUCUCCUAAUGUUAUGGUCCCAUUACAUCUCCAUUCAUUGCAGGAGAUGGUCCCAAUUACCUUACAUGGUUCUGUUGGACACAAUGAAGCCAUCCAGAUAUGCUAUUAAAAAUCCUGCUAGUCAUUAUGGCUUUAAAUUGUACCAUGUAUGUUCUAUUUUCAGCUAGGCAGAGCAUGUUCUAUUUACAGCAAGCCAGCAGACACCAGGCAGUAAGGUGAUGUAUGAGUCAAUUAUCAGGUGACAAAAUGGUUAUAUUUAAUUAUGCAUGUUAUCUUCCUGGCUCUCUAUGUUUUUUGAGGAAUUCAACUACUUGUAGUACCAGUGUGUCACUGAUAUGUAUAUAUGUGUUGAUGUUCGUCAUCCAAGAUCAAAUACAUCCUGCUAGGUCAUUACUUGCUAAUGUGCAUUUGAUUUUGCUGUUGCCAGGAUGGAAAUUUUUUUGGCAGCUUUCUCAGUGAAUCAGUAUCACCGCAGAACCUUUUUGGACACCCAGAUGUCGAAAGAUGCCCAUUCGUGAGGAAUAUCAAUGGAGCUACAACCUUUUCCCCUCACUUCUGCUUUGCCAGUAGCUGCUCAAGGAGGCAAGGGUCCAAUUUUUGAGGAAGGGUCAGGCUUUGAGUCAGCAUUCAAGCUUUUCUAUGGCCGAGAUGGAAUAGUCCCCCUUUAAGAAAGAUCAUAUGUAUCUGAUGAAAACCACAAUUUAGAGUACACUUAUGUAUGAGUUAUUUGACAAUGCUUAUUUAUGAGAUAUUGAAUGUUAUUUAUCUA